rnacentral:pre_miRNA from 1 species
ACAACGUUCGGACCAUUGGUCUAUCGAGCAAUAUCACACGCUCGGUGGAAGAUCUUCCCUACGCCGU